rnacentral:lncRNA from 1 species
AGCAACUGGAACCUGAGUCCUUCCUGAGUCUACCAGGAUAAAUUUCCAAGAUGAAGUCUAGCUCCAGAAGUUUUCAGAGAGACUUGCAAACAAGCCGAGCCCACCUGCGGUCCUCAAAGGCAUCCUCAGACAGCAUGGAACACCCAGCCUCCUGUCUGCAUUGAGCAUGCCCAAGACAUACUGUUCAAGUCAGGUGAUGGAACACAGGCUGAACUUACCAGGUGAGGUAUCUGAAGUCCUCAACACUCCAAGUACCUGCCAUCAUAGCUGCCCUGCCUUAAGAAAAAAAUUGGAAUCUCAGCCAGGUUACCAGAGCUCAGCCCUGAGCAGUCAUACCCACACACACAUACCAGUCUUCAGAAGAGCUACUUACCCAUAGUUCCUCAGUCCUGAUCUCUACCACAUCUCUCAUCCUGGUCUCAGCAGCCUCUGGCAUUUCCCAAGCACACAGUUCACCAAACUGGACUAUUUCCUCUUUAUUAUCUACACAAAUAUUCUUAAUUAUUUCUCCUCCAACCCGAAGUACUUAUUUCUUAUUUAUGGGUGUAAAUAUAAAACCAGCAGGGCUCAUAUUUCACAGGGAGCCAUUCCAACAGCAUCCAGAACCUUCCAAAUUCCAGGAGCAGGAGAGCUGAUUCUCUACUGUUUCAUUAUAAAGGGAUUUACCAUAAAUAUUAGAAUUUGAAUUCCACCCAAGUAAUGCAUUAAUAGAUACUAAACCAUUAAUAAUUUCUGUACUUUUUCAUAAAUGGGCAAAAUCCAAUAAAUAAACUAUAUCUCUUUCACAGCAGAGCAGGGUUAACAAGUACCAAGGAGAUUUCAAAGACAAACUGCUGGUAGGGCCUGCCAGGAGCUAAGAUUCAUAAUGAAACUACAAAUUCUGGAGACCCAUUUUUUACUGUCUGCCAUGGCAAGUAUCUAAAAUUAAAUGCUAAGCC